rnacentral:tRNA from 1 species
GACUUCAUGGCCCAAUUGAUAAAGUGCUGGUCUACGAAACCAGAGAUUUUGGGUUCGAUCCCUAGUGGAGUCG